rnacentral:rRNA from 1 species
GAUGAACGCUAGCUACAGGCUUAACACAUGCAAGUCGAGGGGAAACGGCAUCAAGCGCUUGCGCCUGAUGGACGUCGACCGGCGCACGGGUGAGUAACGCGUAUCCAACCUGCCCCACACUAAGGGAUAACCCGCAGAAAUGUGGACUAAUACCUUAUAUUUUCCACCAAGGGCAUCGUCGAUGGAACAAAGAUUUAUCGGUAUGGGAUGGGGAUGCGUCCGAUUAGGUUGUUGGCGGGGUAACGGCCCACCAAGCCUUCGAUCGGUAGGGGUUCUGAGAGGAAGGUCCCCCACAUAGGAACUGAGACACGGUCCUAACUCCUACGGGAGACAGCAGUGAGGAAUAUUGGUCAAUGGACGAGAGUCUGAACCAGCCAAGUAGCGUGCAGGAUGACGGCCCUAUGGGUUGUAAACUGCUUUUAUGUGGGGAUAAAGUGCGUGACGUGUCAUGCAUUGCAGGUACCACAUGAAUAAGGACCGGCUAAUUCCGUGCCAGCCGCCGCGGUAAAAGGG